GUGGGGAAUAUUGGGCAAUGGGGGAAACCCUGACCCAGCAACGCCGCGUGAAGGAAGAAGGUUUUCGGAUUGUAAACUUCUGUCCUUGGUGAAGAGAAGAAGACGGUAGCCAAGGAGGAAGCCCCGGCUAACUACGUGCCAGCAGCCGCGGUAAUACGUAGGGGGCAAGCGUUGUCCGGAAUGAUUGGGCGUAAAGGGCGCGUAGGCGGCUUUGUAAGUCUGGAGUGAAAGUCCUCUUUUCAAGGGAGGAAUUGCUUUGGAAACUAUAGAGCUUGAGUGCAGGAGAGGUUAUCGGAAUUCCCGGUGUAGCGGUGAAAUGCGUAGAUAUCGGGAGGAACAUCGGUGGCGAAGGCGGGUAACUGGACUGCAACUGACGCUGAGGCGCGAAAGUGUGGGGAGCAAACAGGAUUAGAAACCCGAGUAGUCC
rnacentral:rRNA from 1 species